GCCGGGAUAGCUCAGUUGGUAGAGUAGAGGACUGACACCAGGUCGAAUCAGGUUCUUGGCA
rnacentral:tRNA from 1 species